AGAGUUUGAUCCUGGCUCAGAUUGAACGCUGGCGGCAGGCCUAACACAUGCAAGUCGAACGGUAAAGAAGCUUGCUUCUUACGAGUGGCGGACGGGUGAGUAAUGUCUGGGAAACUGCCUGAUGGAGGGGGAUAACUACUGGAAACGGUAGCUAAUACCGCAUAACGUCGCAAGACCAAAGAGGUUCGUCUUGCCAUCGGAUGUGCCCAGAUGGGAUUAGCUAGUAGGUGGGGUAACGGCUCACCUAGGCGACGAUCCCUAGCUGGUCUGAGAGGAUGACCAGCCACACUGGAACUGAGACACGGUCCACACUCCUACCGGAGGCAGCAGUGGGGAAUAUUGCACAAUGGGCGCAAGCCUGAUGCAGCCCUGCCGCGUGUAUGAAGAA
rnacentral:rRNA from 1 species